GGGAAAUGAGGAUAUCUUUUGUGUCUUACUAUGACAGUGAAGACAUCAGAUCCAACUCUGAUCUUGCUGUUGCC